UUCUGCCUCCCAAAGUGCUGGGAUUACAGACAUGAGCCACCAUGCCUGGCCAGUCUAUUAUUAUUAAUCUUGUUGCUCAAAUUGUCCCACAUUUGGCUGGUGAAACCACUUUAAGGUUUUCUAUGUACUUUUGAUAUGUCCCCAUCAUUCUAACUCAGUCAUUUCUGGAUGAUUCAUUUUAGAACUGGAUAUAUUACAGGCUCAUGUAUUUGCUCUGCCCAGCCCAUGGAGUCCUUCAUUUCUGUGAGGAGCCCUGGUUUCUCUUAGUGAAGGAUACCGUUUAGACUUGCUUGGUGCUUGCUUGGUGUACUUAUUGUAUCACUGCUUCUAGGCCAUGUCACCUGAAAAGGCAUUUUAAUUGCCAAUGGCUAUUACAUUGGACAGUACAGAUGUAAAACAUUACCGUCCUUGCGAAAAAGGAAAAAAUUGAGUUACUGCAAUUUAGGAAUUCAGAGGCCCACUUGCCUGUCUUUACACAGUUGGUAUUUAGCCUUCUGAGCAGGAUGCAACUAGCUGGUGUUGGAGCUCUGGAUAGAAGGAGCCCUUCUGCUAGAAGGAUGCUGACCUCUUGCCAUUUUUUUCUCUCCCUCUGAAGCCUCCCAUUGGUAAACCAGAAACAAGCUGCCAAGGAAGUCUGAAUAAUUGAGUUGGCAGAUUCUAGACCAUGGUUUCUCAACCUUGGCAUCGUAGACGUUUUAGGCCAGGGGGCUGUCCUGUGCUUUGUAGGAUGUUUAGUAACAUUCCUAGCCUCCACAAAAUUGAUGCCAGUAGCCCUCCGUGUCCUGCUAAUUGUUAGAACUGAGAGUGUCUCCGUACAUUGCUGAGUGAUCCCUAAGGGGCAAAAUGGCCCCUGGUUGAGAACUACUUCCUAGACCCAGCAGAGGAGAGUGUGGAAGGGUGGGCUUGGAGCUGAGAAAUGGUAGUAAUAACUGACCACCACCCAACUUGACGUCAGAUGUUCUUGAAAUGUAGAGGAGGGGCAAAAGAAUUAAUGUUUAUGGGCCUGUGAUGAUCCUGUAAUGUACAGAGAUUAUCCUUUUUCUUUUUUUUCCUUUUUCAUUGUUGAGGAAAGCAAAGAUGAGGUAAGCGGUAUCUUUAUAGUCAGGCAAGAUUCAAAUCCUGGUAAAGUUUAUAUUUGUUUGCAUGCUCUUAAAGUAUGUUCUUGAAUUUUCUGGGUUGGUAUUAUUGCUAUACUAUAUUUACAUGGGUGAACUGUUUUUUAUGUUACAUUUCAGUCAUUCUUGAUGCAUUGCUAACAUGGAUGCAUUUUCUAGAUGGUGCCCUGCUAGUGUCAUACUGCUCAGAACCAUGGCUAGACAUUGUAAGUGGAGGAAAGAA